AAUGAACGCUGGCGGCGUGGUUAAGACAUGCAAGUCGAACGGUUUUUCAGGUGUAGCAAUACACUUGAAAAGCAGUGGCGAACGGGUGCGUAACACGUGAACAAUCUACCUUUUAGUGUGGAAUAGCUCGGCGAAAGCCGGAUUAAUACCGCAUGUGGUUGCUGCUCGCAUGAGCGGCAUACUAAAGUCAGGGACCGCAAGGCCUGACGCUAUUAGAGGAGUUCGCGGCCUAUCAGCUAGUUGGCGAGGUAACGGCUCACCAAGGCUAAGACGGGUAGCUGAUCUGAGAGGAUGAUCAGCACACUGGAACUGAGACACGGUCCAGAAACCUACGGGUGGCAGCAGUUUCGAAUCAUUCACAAUGGGCGAAAGCCUGAUGGUGCGACGCCGCGUGAGGGAUGAAGGUCUUCGGAUUGUAAACCUCUGUCACCGGGGAAGAAACGCUUCAAGUUAACAGCUUGAAGCCUGACUUAACCCGGAGAGGAAGCAGUGGCUAACUCUGUGCCAGCCGCCGCUGUAAAAC
rnacentral:rRNA from 1 species